AUCCAAUGGUGAGGGCAAGCCAAUAGGUACACUUGGAAGUGCUCCUAUGCUUCAGGGAUUGACUCAUCUGACGCCUGCUGGAAGUUGGAAAUCCUUCCACGAAGUGC
rnacentral:snoRNA from 1 species